AGGACGAACGCUGGCGGCGUGCCUAACACAUGCAAGUCGGGCGAAGUGAGUUUAGAUGAAAUUUCGGAUGGAAUCUGAAUUAUCUUAGCGGCGGACGGGUGAGUAACGCGUGAGGAACCUGCCUUCCACAAAGGGAUAGCCUCGGGAAACUGGGAUUAAUACCUUAUGACACUUAAAUACCGCAUGGUAAAUAAGUUAAAGCGUAAAGCGGUGGAAGAUGGUCUCGCGUCCCAUUAAUUAGUUGGUGAGGUAACGGCUCACCAAGGUAGCGAUGGGUAGCCGGCCCGAGAGGGUGAACGGCCACACUGGAACUGAGACACGGUCCAGACUCCUACGGGAGGCAGCAGUGGGGAAUAUUGCACAAUGGAGGAAACUCUGAUGCAGCGACGCCGCGUGAACGAUGAAGGCCUUCGGGUCGUAAAGUUCUGUCCUUGGGGACGAUAAUGACGGUACCCAAGGAGGAAGCCCCGGCUAACUACGUGCCAGCAGCAGC
rnacentral:rRNA from 1 species